AACAGGUGAAGCUGAGCACUCUAGACGAACUGCCGUUGACAAAACGGAGGAAGGUGGGGAUGACGUCAAAUCAUCAUGCCCCUUAUGUUCUGGGCUACACACGUGCUACAAUGGCCGGUACAGACGGAGGCGAAGCCGCGAGGCGGAGCAAAUCCGAAAAAGCCGGUCUCAGUUCGGAUUGCAGGCUGCAAUUCGCCUGCAUGAAGUCGGAAUCGCUAGUAAUCGCAGGUCAGCAUACUGCGGUCGAAUACGUUCCCGGGCCUU
rnacentral:rRNA from 1 species